GACCUCAAAUCAGGUAGGACUACCCGCUGAACUUAAGCAUAUCAAUAAGCGGAGGAAAAGAAACUAACAAGGAUUCCCCUAGUAACUGCGAGUGAAGCGGGAAAAGCUCAAAUUUAAAAUCUGGCAGUCUUUGAUUGUCCGAGUUGUAAUCUAGAGAAGUGUUAUCCGCGCUGGACCGUGUACAAGUCUCCUGGAAUGGAGCGUCAUAGAGGGUGAGAAUCCCGUCUUUGACACGGACUGCCAGGGCUUUGUGAUGCGCUCUCAAAGAGUCGAGUUGUUUGGGAAUGCAGCUCAAAAUGGGUGGUAAAUUCCAUCUAAAGCUAAAUAUUGGCGAGAGACCGAUAGCGAACAAGUACCGUGAGGGAAAGAUGAAAAGAACUUUGGAAAGAGAGUUAAACAGUACGUGAAAUUGCUGAAAGGGAAACGCUUGAAGUCAGUCGCGUUGUUUGGGAAUCAACCUUGCUUUUGCUGGGCGUACUUUCCAGAUAAUGGGUCAGCAUCAAUUUUGAUCGUUGGAUAAAGUCAGAAGGAAUGUGGCAUCUUCGGAUGUGUUAUAGCCUUUUGUCGUAUACAACGGUUGGGAUUGAGGAACUCAGCACGCCGCAAGGCCGGGUACUUGUACCACGUUCGUGCUUAGGAUGCUGGCAUAAUGGCUUUAAUCGACCCGUCUUGAAACACGGACCAAGGAGUCUAACAUGCCUGCGAGUAUUUGGGUGGAAAACCCGAGUGCGUAAUGAAAGUGAAAGUUGAGAUCCCUGUCGUGGGGAGCAUCGACGCCCGGACCAGACCUUUUGUGACGGAUCUGCGGUAGAGCAUGUAUGUUGGGACCCGAAAGAUGGUGAACUAUGCCUGAAUAGGGUGAAGCCAGAGGAAACUCUGGUGGAGGCUCGUAGCGAUUCUGACGUGCAAAUCGAUCGUCAAAUUUGGGUAUAGGGGCGAAAGACUAAUCGAACCAUCUAGUAGCUGGUUCCU
rnacentral:rRNA from 1 species